rnacentral:rRNA from 1 species
UACGAAGGGGGCUAGCGUUGCUCGGAAUCACUGGGCGUAAAGCGCACGUAGGCGGAUCUUUAAGUCAGGGGUGAAAUCCUGGAGCUCAACUCCAGAACUGCCUUUGAUACUGGGGAUCUCGAGUCCGGGAGAGGUGAGUGGAACUGCGAGUGUAGAGGUGAAAUUCGUAGAUAUUCGCAAGAACACCAGUGGCGAAGGCGGCUCACUGGCCCGGUACUGACGCUGAGGUGCGAAAGCGUGGGGAGCAA